CGAACACACCAUCUUCUGCCUCCUGCCUCAUCUGCUCACUGCCACCGGCAAAGGAUAAAGAAAAUCUAACCCCCUUGCCUCUUUCACUCUCUCUUCUUUGAUUCCUCCUCCUAGCCUGAUAAUUUGAUACGCCCAAGGAGAACAUCCCUGCUGGGCCCCCGGCCAUUUAUCUCGAAUAAUCUUGAAUAAUCUAACCCCCUUGCCUCUUACAUUCUCUCUUCUCUGAUUCAUUCUCCUCCAAGCCUGAUAAUUUGAUACGCCAAGGAGAACAUCCCUGCUGGGCCCCCGACCAUUUAUCUUGAAUAAUCUUGAUGCUCUAAACUUCCACCAUUAAAACCUUCACUUUUACACCCGAUGAUGCCAAUCCCUUUUCUCAACAUCCUUCGCGUUUUAAAUAGAUUGUUCCCAUCGAAACUUCAAUUCAAAGGUUUUGGAAGACAUGCGAGGUUUAUUGCAAGCAGCAGAUGAAAGGAAGCAAGCUGCAGUUGCUGAGCUAUCUGCUAAACAUCAAAAGGAUAAGGGUCAACUCCCCUCGCAAUUGCUGUUUGUAUAGAGGAUCACUGGGCACAUCAGUUUCAAAUCUCUGACCAAGGUGAGUUUUUGAAUAUUUUUUGUUUUAUCAUUUUUCAUCAAUAUAAUUAUAUUGCACAUGCUUAAAUUUGUUAAAAUUCUCCUAGAGAUGUUCCAAAUUCGAAAAUAUGGAGGUAGUAUGGUUCUUUAGAUUUAA